CAUGCAAGUCAACUUGAAUUUGGGUUUUAACUUAAGUUUGGGUGGCGGACGGGUGAGUAACGCGUAAAGAACUUGCCUCACGGCUAGGGACAACAUUUGGAAACGAAUGCUAAUACCUAAUAUUAUGAUAAUAGGGCAUCCUAUAAUUAUGAAAGCUAUAAGCGCUGUGAGAGAGCUUUGCGUCCCAUUAGCUAGUUGGAGAGGUAACGGCUCACCAAGGCGAUGAUGGGUAGCCGGCCUGAGAGGGUGAUCGGCCACAAGGGGACUGAGACACGGCCCUUACUCCUACGGGAGGCAGCAGUGGGGAAUAUUGGACAAUGGACCAAGAGUCUGAUCCAGCAAUUCUGUGUGCACGAUGAAGUUUUUCGGAAUGUAAAGUGCUUUCAGUUGGGAAGAAAGAAAUGACGGUACCAACAGAAGAAGUGACGGCUAAAUACGUGCCAGCAGCCGCGGUAAUACGUAUGUCACGAGCGUUAUCCGGAUUUAUUGGGCGUAAAGCGCGUCUAGGUGGUUAUGUAAGUCUGAUGUGAAAAUGCAGGGCUCAACUCUGUAUUGCGUUGGAAACUGUAUAACUAGAGUACUGGAGAGGUAAGCGGAACUACAAGUGUAGAGGUGAAAUUCGUAGAUAUUUGUAGGAAUGCCGAUGGGGAAGCCAGCUUACUGGACAGAUACUGACGCUGAAGCGCGAAAGCGUGGGUAGCAAACAGGAUUAGAUACCCUGGUAGUCCACGCCGUAAACGAUGAUUACUAGGUGUUGGGGGUCGAACCUCAGCGCCCAAGCAAACGCGAUAAGUAAUCCGCUGGGGAGUACG
rnacentral:rRNA from 1 species